AAAAAGACAAACCCUGGUUUCCGUGUCCAACAUUUGACCGUCCGUCUUAUUUAAAAAAAAUAUGAAAAAGUUUAAAAAGACAAGUCACGUAUAAAGUAUUAAUCAUGUUUUAUCAUCUAACAACAAUGAUAAUACUAACUAUAAAAAAAAUUUCAUAUAAGACGGAUAGUCAAACGUUGACACGGAACCCACGGUUUACCUUUUU
rnacentral:pre_miRNA from 1 species